rnacentral:rRNA from 1 species
UACGUAGGGGGCUAGGCGUUGUCCGGAAUCAUUGGGCGUAAAGCGCGUGUAGGCGGUCCGGUAAGUCCGCUGUGAAAGUCGGGGGGCUCAACCCUCGGAUGCCGGUGGAUACUGUCGGGCUUGAGUACGGAAGAGGCGAGUGGAAUUCCCGGUGUAGCGGUGAAAUGCGCAGAUAUCGGGAGGAACACCAAUGGCGAAGGCAGCUCGCUGGGACGGUACUGACGCUGAGGCGCGAAAGCGUGGGGAGCAAACAGG